rnacentral:misc_RNA from 1 species
AACGCAUAUUGCGCCCGAGGCUUCGGCCAAGGGCAUGUCUGCCUCAGCGUCGGGUUAAUACUCACCCAACCAAUCCCUGGUUGAGUGGAUCUGGCUUUCCCAGGCCUCGUGUCUGGGUUUGCUGAAGCAUAGAGGUUGAUGCAUGGACCCGCUAAGGGCUGCAACUGGGUAGGCAAUCUAUUUGCUAAUGCUUUAGUUGUUGGCUUGGGACUGUGCUGGUCGACCCGAAAUCAGGAAGAGCUUCGGCUCUAAACCCAUUUUCUCGACCUGAGCUCAGGCAAGAACACCCGCUGAACUUAA